GAUGAAGAACGUAGCGAAAUGCGAUACUUGGUGUGAAUUGCAGAAUCCCGUGAACCAUCGAGUCUUUGAACGCAAGUUGCGCCCGAAGCCACUAGGCCGAGGGUACGCCUGCCUGGGCGUCACACGUCGUUGCCCCCCCCCCCAUCUACUCCUUCGGGAUUGCGGGGGGCGGAUGAUGGCCUCCCGUGCGCCUAGCCGCGCGGUUGGCAUAAAUACCAAGUCCUCGGCGACGCACGCCACGACAAUCGGUGGUUGCGAAACCUCGGUUGCCCGUCGUGUGCGUUCGUCGCGCAUCGAGGGCUCGAAAAAAUGCUCGGCUCCGGCUCGGCUUUCAACGCGACCCCAGGUCAGGCGGGGUUACCCGCUGAAUUUAAGCAUAUCAAUAAGCGGAGGA
rnacentral:misc_RNA from 1 species